UACGUAGGGAGCGAGCGUUGUCCGGAUUUAUUGGGCGUAAAGAGCUCGUAGGCGGUUUGUUGCGUCGGCUGUGAAAUCCCGAGGCUCAACCUCGGGUCUGCAGUCGAUACGAGCAAACUAGAGUGUUGCAGGGGAGACUGGAAUUCCUGGUGUAGCGGUGAAAUGCGCAGAUAUCAGGAGGAACACCGGUGGCGAAGGCGGGUCUCUGGGCAACAACUGACGCUGAGGAGCGAAAGCGUGGGGAGCGAACAGG
rnacentral:rRNA from 1 species